UUAACUCAAAUUUGUAUGGAGUUUGAACAGCUUUCCGUCGUUUGCCGCUAGGGGCGCUGUUCCAACUCCAUACAAAUUUGAGUUU
rfam:Bombyx mori DNA, contig: Bm_scaf107_contig36921, strain: p50T/Dazao, build 2, whole genome shotgun sequence.